AGACCUGCUUUGACCACAGCCCUGACUCUCAAUGUCUUCCUUAAAUGCUGGUCUCAUUUCUACCAAAGAUGAUCACAAUAAGACCAAUUUGGUUGCAAAAUAUGUCCAGUCUCCAGUAAACUUGGCCUGAUUAUUUAUCUAGGCGCAGCAAGAAUAAUGAUUGACCAUAUGAGCUCUUUUAAGCCUUCUUUGUUGGGACUUUGAAGUAAGGAAUCUAAAAGGGGACUUUCAAAAGCCUCUCCAUGCUAAGAGGCCAAGCCAAGGACCCACCAUCAAACUUUGCCUGCCAUGUGUAAAUUUUGGUGAAUUGCUCUCUUCUCAAGAUUCUCAAAAUAUUUUUAAGGCUCCCAGGUCUUCUUUUAAUAAGACCAGGGAACCCUUCAAGACAGGUACCAAGCCAGUUUGCUACAAGGUGCUUUAUUGGUGUUGAAAAGUCAAUCUUCGUUCUUUAAAACUGUCUGGACCAUGUGAGUAUAUUUACAUUCUCAAGCAUGACAUUCCAGUCAAAGCCUUGGUAAUAUAACCAAUGCUUCCAAUUGUGUCCUGUAAUAACAAAAACCAAUUCUUAUUGAACUUAUGCGAAUAACUAUAUUGCCAUGAAAAUAAGAAUGCUCUUUCAUAGUUUCUGAAUUCUGAAGGGAUCAGUAGGGAUAAAAUGAAUGUUUCAACUUUGUUCACAAAGGUAAACUUUACCAAAUUGCUAUGUAUAGCUAGCUUAAGAGAGAAGAAAAAGGCUCCCUUAAAUCUGAAAAACAAAACAUCAAAGAAUCAGCAAUGUUUCAAAUGCAAAGACCAUGAAAAACCAUAAUUCUUCUUCAUCAGUUUGUUCAGUCCCAUGAAAUUAAUCCUUCUUCUGCCUGAUGUUGUGUUAGCAGGUUUUGUUUUGUUUUGGUUUGGUUUGGUUUGGUUUGGUUUUUCAGGUUUUUUUGUUUGUUGGUUGGUUGGUUUUUUUGAGACGGAGUCUCGCUAUGUUGCUCAGGCUGGAG
rnacentral:lncRNA from 10 species